GUCUAUGGCCAUUCUACCGUGAUCUUGCCUGAUCUGGUCUGAUCUUGGAAGCUAAGCAGGGUGGAAGUGGAUUAGUACUUGGAUGGGAGACUGUCUGGAAUACCAGGGGUUGUAGGCU
rnacentral:rRNA from 1 species